GUUGUAUGGUUAAGUGACUAAGCGUACACGGUGGAUGCCUUGGCAGUCAGAGGCGAUGAAGGACGUAUUAACUUGCGAUAAGCCCAGAUUAGGUAGUAAAAACCAUUUGAGUCUGGGAUUUCCGAAUGGGGAAACCCACUAGCAUAAGCUAGUAUCGCUGCGUGAAUACAUAGCGCAGCGAGGCGAACCGGGGGAACUGAAACAUCUAAGUACCCCGAGGAAAAGAAAUCAACCGAGAUUCCGAAAGUAGCGGCGAGCGAAAUUGGAUUAGCCCUUAAGCUUUUUAUGCGUCAGGUGAAACUUCUGGAAAGUUGUGCGAUACAGGGUGAUAGCCCCGUAACCGGCAACGCAUUUAAAGUGAAAUCGAGUAGGGCGGGACACGUGAUAUCCUGUCUGAAUAUGGGGGGACCAUCCUCCAAGGCUAAAUACUACUGACUGACCGAUAGUGAACCAGUACCGUGAGGGAAAGGCGAAAAGAACCCCUGUGAGGGGAGUGAAAUAGAACCUGAAACCGUGUACGUACAAGCAGUAGGAGCACCUUCGUGGUGUGACUGCGUACCUUUUGUAUAAUGGGUCAGCGACUUAUAUUCAGUGGCAAGGUUAACCAUCUAGGGGAGCCGUAGGGAAACCGAGUCUUAACUGGGCGUUCAGUCUCUGGAUAUAGACCCGAAACCAGGUGAUCUAGCCAUGGGCAGGUUGAAGGUUGAGUAACAUCAACUGGAGGACCGAACCGACUAAUGUUGAAAAAUUAGCGGAUGACUUGUGGCUAGGGGUGAAAGGCCAAUCAAACCUGGAGAUAGCUGGUUCUCCCCGAAAGCUAUUUAGGUAGCGCCUCGGACGAAUACUACUGGGGGUAGAGCACUGUUAAGGCUAGGGGGUCAUCCCGACUUACCAACCCUUUGCAAACUCCGAAUACCAGUAAGUACUAUCCGGGAGACACACGGCGGGUGCUAACGUCCGUCGUGGAGAGGGAAACAACCCAGACCGCCAGCUAAGGUCCCAAAUUACUACUAAGUGGGAAACGAUGUGGGAAGGCUCAGACAGCCAGGAUGUUGGCUUAGAAGCAGCCAUCAUUUAAAGAAAGCGUAAUAGCUCACUGGUCGAGUCGGCCUGCGCGGAAGAUGUAACGGGGCUAAGUAGUAAACCGAAGCUGCGGCAAUGUACUUUAGUGCAUUGGGUAGGGGAGCGUUCUGUAAGCGGUUGAAGGUGUGUGGUAACGCAUGCUGGACGUAUCAGAAGUGCGAAUGCUGACAUGAGUAACGAUAAAGGAGGUGAAAAACCUCCUCGCCGGAAGACCAAGGGUUCCUGUCCAACGUUAAUCGGGGCAGGGUAAGUCGACCCCUAAGGCGAGGCCGAAAGGCGUAGUCGAUGGGAAACGGGUUAAUAUUCCCGUACUUCUUACAAUUGCGAUGGGGGGACGGAGAAGGCUAGGUGGGCCUGGCGACGGUUGUCCAGGUUCAAGUGCGUAGGCUUAAGAGUUAGGUAAAUCCGGCUCUUUCUAAGGCUGAGACACGACGUCGAGCUACUACGGUAGUGAAGUCAUUGAUGCCAUGCUUCCAGGAAAAGCCUCUAAGCUUCAGAUUGUAAGGAAUCGUACCCCAAACCGACACAGGUGGUCGGGUAGAGAAUACCAAGGCGCUUGAGAGAACUCGGGUGAAGGAACUAGGCAAAAUGGUACCGUAACUUCGGGAGAAGGUACGCUCUCGACGGUGAAGUCCCUUGCGGAUGGAGCUAUUGAGAGUCGCAGAUACCAGGUGGCUGCAACUGUUUAUUAAAAACACAGCACUGUGCAAAAUCGUAAGAUGACGUAUACGGUGUGACGCCUGCCCGGUGCCGGAAGGUUAAUUGAUGGGGUUAGACUUCGGUCGAAGCUCUUGAUCGAAGCCCCGGUAAACGGCGGCCGUAACUAUAACGGUCCUAAGGUAGCGAAAUUCCUUGUCGGGUAAGUUCCGACCUGCACGAAUGGCGUAAUGAUGGCCACGCUGUCUCCACCCGAGACUCAGUGAAAUUGAAAUCGCUGUGAAGAUGCAGUGUACCCGCGGCUAGACGGAAAGACCCCGUGAACCUUUACUACAGCUUGGCACUGAACAUUGACCCUACAUGUGUAGGAUAGGUGGGAGGCUUUGAAGCACAGUCGCUAGAUUGUGUGGAGCCGUCCUUGAAAUACCACCCUUGUAGUGUUGAUGUUCUAACGUUGACCCCUAAUCGGGGUUGCGGACAGUGCCUGGUGGGUAGUUUGACUGGGGCGGUCUCCUCCCAAAGCGUAACGGAGGAGCACGAAGGUGGGCUAAUCACGGUUGGACAUCGUGAGGUUAGUGCAAUGGCAUAAGCCCGCUUGACUGCGAGAAUGACGGUUCGAGCAGGUGCGAAAGCAGGUCAUAGUGAUCCGGUGGUUCUGAAUGGAAGGGCCAUCGCUCAACGGAUAAAAGGUACUCCGGGGAUAACAGGCUGAUACCGCCCAAGAGUUCAUAUCGACGGCGGUGUUUGGCACCUCGAUGUCGGCUCAUCACAUCCUGGGGCUGAAGUCGGUCCCAAGGGUAUGGCUGUUCGCCAUUUAAAGUGGUACGCGAGCUGGGUUUAGAACGUCGUGAGACAGUUCGGUCCCUAUCUGCCGUGGGCGUUGGAAGAUUGAAGGGGGCUGCUCCUAGUACGAGAGGACCGGAGUGGACGAACCUCUGGUGUUCGGGUUGUGUCGCCAGACGCAUUGCCCGGUAGCUAAGUUCGGAAUCGAUAACCGCUGAAAGCAUCUAAGCGGGAAGCGAGCCCUGAGAUGAGUCUUCCCUGAUACUUUAAGUAUCCUAAAGGGUUGUUCGAGACUAGAACGUUGAUAGGCAGGGUGUGUAAGCGUUGUGAGGCGUUGAGCUAACCUGUACUAAUUGCCCGUGAGGCUUAACCAUACAACACCCAAGGGGUUU
rnacentral:rRNA from 1 species